rnacentral:rRNA from 1 species
CGUGCCAGCAGCCGCGGUAAGACGUAGGGGGCGAGCGUUGUCCGGAAUCACUGGGCGUAAAGGGCGCGUAGGCGGCCUGGCAAGUCGGAUGUGAAAGGUCCCGGCUCAACCGGGGAGGUGCAUUCGAAACUGCCGGGCUUGAGGGCAGGAGAGGGCAGCGGAAUUCCCGGUGGAGCGGUGAAAUGCGUAGAGAUCGGGAGGAACACCAGUGGCGAAGGCGGCUGCCUGGCCUGGCCCUGACGCUGAGGCGCGACAGCGUGGGGAGCGAACGGGAUUAGAUACCCCGGUAGUCCACGCCGUAAACGAUGGGUGCUAGGUGUGGGAGGUAUCGACCCCUUCCGUGCCGGAGCUAACGCACUAAGCACCCCGCCUGGGGAGUACGGCCGCAAGGCUGAAACUCAAAGGAAUUGACGGGGGCCCGCACAAGCGGUGGAGCAUGUGGUUUAAUUCGAAGCAACGCGAAGAACCUUACCUGGGCUUGACAUCACCGCGAACCUGGCCGAAAGGCCGGGGUGCCCUUCGGGGAGCGCGGUGACAGGUGCUGCAUGGUUGUCGUCAGCUCGUGUCGUGAGAUGUUGGGUUAAGUCCCGCAACGAGCGCAACCCCCGCCCUGUGUUGCCAGCGGUUCGGCCGGGCACUCACAGGGGACUGCCGGUGACAAACCGGAGGAAGGUGGGGAUGACGUCAAAUCAUCAUGGCCCUUAUGCCCAGGGCUACACACGUGCUACAAUGGCCGGUACAACGGGUUGCGAACCCGCG